AGUUUGAUCCUGGCUCAGGACGAACGCUGGCGGCGUGCUUAACACAUGCAAGUCGAACGCUGAAGCUUGGUGCUUGCACUGGGUGGAUGAGUGGCGAACGGGUGAGUAAUACGUGAGUAACCUGCCCUUGACUCUGGGAUAAGCCUGGGAAACUGGGUCUAAUACUGGAUAUGACCUCCUGUCGCAUGGUGGGGGGUGGAAAGGGUUUGUACUGGUUGUGGAUGGGCUCACGGCCUAUCAGCUUGUUGGUGGGGUAAUGGCCUACCAAGGCGACGACGGGUAGCCGGCCUGAGAGGGUGACCGGCCACACUGGGACUGAGACACGGCCCAGACUCCUACGGGAGGCAGCAGUGGGGAAUAUUGCACAAUGGGCGCAAGCCUGAUGCAGCGACGCCGCGUGAGGGAUGACGGCCUUCGGGUUGUAAACCUCUUUCAGCACGGAAGAAGCGAAAGUGACGGUACGUGCAGAAGAAGCGCCGGCUAACUACGUGCCAGCAGCCGCGGUAAUACGUAGGGCGCAAGCGUUGUCCGGAAUUAUUGGGCGUAAAGAGCUCGUAGGCGGUUUGUCGCGUCUGCUGUGAAAGCCCGGGGCUUAACCCCGGGUGUGCAGUGGGUACGGGCAGACUUGAGUGCAGUAGGGGAGACUGGAACUCCUGGUGUAGCGGUGAAAUGCGCAGAUAUCAGGAAGAACACCGAUGGCGNAAGGCAGGUUNUUCNGGGCUGUUAC
rnacentral:rRNA from 1 species